rnacentral:tRNA from 1 species
GCUCGUUGGUCAAGAGGUUAAGACACCGCCCUUUCACGGCGGACUGUGAGGGUUCGAUCCCCUUCACCCGCUCCA